GAUGAACGCUGGCGGCGUGCCUAAUACAUGCAAGUCGAGCGAACGGACGAGAAGCUUGCUUCUCUGAUGUUAGCGGCGGACGGGUGAGUAACACGUGGAUAACCUACCUAUAAGACUGGGAUAACUUCGGGAAACCGGAGCUAAUACCGGAUAAUAUUUUGAACCGCAUGGUUCAAAAGUGAAAGACGGUCUUGCUGUCACUUAUAGAUGGAUCCGCGCUGCAUUAGCUAGUUGGUAAGGUAACGGCUUACCAAGGCAACGAUGCAUAGCCGAACUGAGAGGGUGAUGGGCCACACUGGAACUGAGACACGGUCCAGACUCCUACGGGAGGCAGCAGUAGGGAAUCUUCCGCAAUGGGCGAAAGCCUGACGGAGCAACGCCGCGUGAGUGAUGAAGGUCUUCGGAUCGUAAAACUCUGUUAUUAGGGAAGAACAUAUGUGUAAGUAACUGUGCACAUCUUGACGGUACCUAAUCAGAAAGCCACGGCUAACUACGUG
rnacentral:rRNA from 1 species